rnacentral:rRNA from 1 species
AGAUCCUCCUCCCCUGUAGAUGAACCCGCGGAAGGAUCAUUAAUGAAUUCACUAUGGAGUUGUUGCUGGCCUCUAGGGGCAUGUGCACGCUUCACUAGUCUUUCAACCACCUGUGAACUUUUGAUAGAUCUGUGAAGUCGUCUCUCAAGUCGUCAGACUUGGUUGCUGGGAAUUAAACCUUUCGGGGUGACAACCCCGUUUUUUUUUACACACCCCCAUGUAUGUCUACGAAAGUCAUUUAAAGGGCCCUGUGCCUUUAAACCCCAAUACAACUUUUUACAAAGGAUAUCUUGGGUCUCGCAUCGCUGAAAAAAGCACCGAAAAGUGAUAAGAAAUUGAAAAGCAGAAAUCACAGAUAAUAGCAUAUUUGAACACGCCCUGCGCCCCCUGGUAUUUCCAGGGGCGCGCCCGUGUGAGAGUCGCUAAAAUUUCACACACACAUUGGGUUUUUUCCAAUUGUGAUGUUUGGAUUGUUGGGGGCUGCUGGCCUUGACAGGUCGGCUCCUCUUAAAUGCAUUAGCAGGACUUCUCAUUGCCUCUGCGCGUGAUGUGAUAAUUAUCACUCAUCAAUAGCACGCAUGAAUAGAGUCCAGCUCUCUAAUCGUCCGCAAGGACAAUUUGACAUUUGACCUCAAAUCGGUAGGACUACCCGCUGAACUUAAGCAUGUCAAUAAAGCGGAAGAAAGAGAUCAUUAACAAAUUCACUAUUG